rnacentral:rRNA from 3 species
UGAGGAAUAUUGGUCAAUGGGCGUGAGCCUGAACCAGCCAAGUAGCGUGCAGGAAGACGGCCCUAUGGGUUGUAAACUGCUUUUAUGCGGGGAUAAAGGAGUCCACGUGUGGAUUUUUGCAGGUACCGCAUGAAUAAGGACCGGCUAAUUCCGUGCCAGCAGCCGCGGUAAUACGGAAGGUCCGGGCGUUAUCCGGAUUUAUUGGGUUUAAAGGGAGCGUAGGCCGCGUUUUAAGCGUGUUGUGAAAUGUAGACGCCCAACGUCUGCAUCGCAGCGCGAACUGGGACGCUUGAGUACGCGCAACGUUGGCGGAAUUCGUCGUGUAGCGGUGAAAUGCUUAGAUAUGACGAGGAACUCCGAUUGCGAAGGCAGCUGACGGGAGCGGCACUGACGCUUAAGCUCGAAGGUGCGGGUAUCAAACAGG